AGCAGCCGCGGUAAUUCCAGCUCCAAUAGCGUAUAUUAAAGUUGUUGCAGUUAAAAAGCUCGUAGUUGAAUUUCGGGGUCAGUAGGUUGGUCGUGCCACCGGUACGUACUGGUUUCACUGAUUCCUCCUUCCUGAAGAACCGUAAUGCCAUUAAUUUGGUGUUGCGGGGAAACAGGACUGUUACUUUGAAAAAAUUAGAGUGUUUAAAGCAGGCUAACGCUUGAAUACAUUAGCAUGGAAUAAUGAAAUAGGACGAUCGAUCCUAUUUUGUUGGUUUCUAGGAUUGACGUAAUGAUUAAUAGGGAUAGUUGGGGGCAUUAGUAUUCAAUUGUCAGAGGUGAAAUUCUUGGAUUUAUUGAAGACUAACUACUGCGAAAGCAUUUGCCAAGGAUGUUUUCAUUAAUCAAGAACGAAAGUUAGGGGAUCGAAGACGAUCAGAUACCGUCGUAGUCUUAACCAUAAACUAUGCCGACUAGGGAUCGGAUGAUGUUAAUUUUAUAAUGACUCAUUCGGCGCCUUA
rnacentral:rRNA from 1 species